rnacentral:rRNA from 1 species
UUGAUCCUGCCGGAAGCUACCGCUAUUGGAGUUCGAUUANNCCNUGCGAGUCGAGAGUCUUAGGGGCUCGGCGUACCGCUCAGUAACACGUGGGUAACCUGCCCUAUGCUGGGGAAUAACCUCGGGAAACUGAGAAUAAUGCCCCAUAGUCCACAAAGCCUGGAACGGUUUGUGGAUUAAAGCUCCGGCGGCAUAGGAUGGGCCUGCGGCGUAUCAGGUCGUAGGGGGUGUAACGUACCCUCUANCCAUCGACGCGUACGGGUGUUGGGAGACAUAGCCCGGANAUGGAUUCUGAGAUACGAAUCCAGACCCUACGGGGUGCAGCAGGCGCGAAAACUUGGCAAUGCGAGAAAUCGUGACCAGGGAACUCCAAGUGGCUGGGGUAAGACCCANUCUUGUCUUGACUCUUCAAAGGUCUUGGAAUAAGGGGUGGGUAAGGACGGUGCCAGC